GGUCACCUCGUGUCUAGCUCCUUUCCUUCACCAGAGGCUUCCCGCAACUCGGAGGUCACCUCGUGUCUAGCUCCUUUCCUUCACCAGAGGCUUCCCGCAACUCGGAGGUCACCUCGUGGCCAGCUCCUUUCCUUCACCAGAGGCUUCCCGCAACUCGGAGGUCACCUCGUGGCCAGCUCCUUUCCUUCACCAGAGGCUUCCCGCAACUCGGAGGUCACCUCGUGGCCAGCUCCUUUCCUUCACCAGAGGCUUCCCGUAACUCGGAGGUCACCUCGUGGCCAGCUCCUUUCCUUCACCAGAGGCUUCCCGCAACUCGGAGGUCACCUCGUGGCCAGCUCCUUUCCUUCACCAGAGGCUUCCCGCAACUCGGAGGUCACCUCGUGGCCAGCUCCUUUCCUUCACCAGAGGCUUCCCGCAACUCGGAGGUCACCUCGUGGCCAGCUCCUUUCCUUCACCAGAGGCUUCCCGCAACUCGGAGGUCACCUCGUGGCCAGCUCCUUUCCUUCACCAGAGG